CUUGUCCCAUGAAACCAUUUUGAUUUCCUGGUAUACUUCUUCCAGCUUCCUGUCUUCAGAAGAAGGCACAUCAGUCUGUACAGACUGUGACUGAAAACUUCAGUUUCACAUCUUUGCAUCCGAACACACCAGUGAUAGACCAUUAUGUCUCACAAGAGAAAAUAUAUCAGAAUUAUAAACCACAAAAUACAUUUAUGAGCUAUUAACCAUGUAGGCACCAGCAGUCUGUACCGGCUCAACUAUUAAUUAUACUCAGUUACUUGAACCUGUCCUUGAUCAAGCAAAUCUCAGACCCUAUGCACAGCAGGACAGCAGAAUACUCUAAACUGACCAAGAAAAGCCUUUCUCCUUCCUGACAUGAAGGGAGCCAGGGGAGCAACCUGUUUAAGUCACUGAUUCCUCUCUUUCUGUAAAUAUCAGUACAGUUGUUAAAACACUUGAAACUUGUAAAGGCUGAGGUGGAGAAAUACACAUUUGAUUUUGAUUUGAGAAUGGGUUCUGAGGUAUGUGCCAUUUCCCCUUACAUCUGUAAUUGAUACAUUUCUGUGACAGAAUAAAAGGCUUGGUGAAAAUGUAUCACUUCUUUGUAGACCACCUUAGCGUCUAGAUUCUCUUUCCAGUCUCAAGAUGGAAACCAGGAAGUGCCACAAGGAGCCCUAAAAAAAAAAAAA